rnacentral:rRNA from 1 species
ACUCCUACGGGAGGCAGCAGUGAGGAAUAUUGGUCAAUGGGCGGAAGCCUGAACCAGCCAUGCCGCGUGCAGGACGACGGCCCUACGGGUUGUAAACUGCUUUUCCGGGGGAAGAAUAAGGCCCAUGCGUGGGCCGAUGCCGGUACCCCGGGAAUAAGGAUCGGCUAACUCCGUGCCAGCAGCCGCGGUAAUACGGAGGAUCCUAGCGUUAUCCGGAUUUACUGGGUUUAAAGGGUGCGUAGGCGGGCGUUUAAGUCCGCGGUGAAAGUCUGCGGCUCAACCGUAGGACUGCCGUGGAUACUGGGCGCCUUGAAUUCGGUCGAGGCGGGCGGAAUGCGUGGUGUAGCGGUGAAAUGCUUAGAUAUCACGCAGAACGCCGAUAGCGAAGGCAGCUCGCCGGGCCGAUAUUGACGCUGAUGCACGAAAGCGUGGGGAUCAAACAGGAUUAGAUACCCUGGUAGUC